AUGCAAGUGAUGGAUGCUCGGAUUCCCCUUGACAUCAUGGAUGGUGCAAUACUGAGAUUCAGAUGCU
rfam:Gossypium hirsutum cultivar TM-1 unplaced genomic scaffold scaffold739.1, whole genome shotgun sequence